AGAGCGAACGCUGGCGGCAGGCCUAAUACAUGCAAGUCGAACGGACCCUUCGGGGUUAGUGGCGGACGGGUGAGUAACACGUGGGAACGUGCCCUUUGGUUCGGAACAACUCAGGGAAACUUGAGCUAAUACCGAAUGUGCCCCCAUCCUUAAACAAGAUGGGUGGGAAAGAUUUAUCGCCAUUGGAGCGGCCCGCGUCUGAUUAGCUAGUUGGUGAGGUAACGGCCCACCAAGGCAUCGACGGGUAGCUGGUCUGAGAGGACGAUCAGCCACACUGGGACUGAGACACGGCCCAGACUCCUACGGGAGGCAGCAGUGGGGAAUCUUGCGCAAUGGGCGAAAGCCUGACGCAGCAACGCCGCGUGGAGGACGAAGGCUUUCGUGAGUUGUAAACUCCUUUCAGCAGGGACGAUAGUGACGGUACCUGCAGAAGAGCACCGGCCAACUACGCGCCAGCAGCCGAC
rnacentral:rRNA from 1 species